GCGGUGUCAUGGGAUCCGGAGAGAUUUGGGAGUGCCUCGAAAGGGAACCAUCACACAGGUGCUGCAUGGCUGUCGUCAGCUCGUGUCGUGAGAUGUUGGGUUAAGUCCCGCAACGAGCGCAACCCUUGUCAUUAGUUGCUACGAAAGGGCACUCUAAUGAGACUGCCGGUGACAAACCGGAGGAAGGUGGGGAUGACGUCAAGUCCUCAUGGCCCUUAUGGGUAGGGCUUCACACGUCAUACAAUGGUACAUACAGAGCGCCGCCAACCCGCGAGGGGGAGCUAAUCGCAGAAAGUGUAUCGUAGUCCGGAUUGUAGUCUGCAACUCGACUGCAUGAAGUUGGAAUCGCUAGUAAUCGCGGAUCAGCAUGUCGCGGUGAAUACGUUCCCGGGUCUUGUACACACCGA
rnacentral:rRNA from 1 species